UGAGGAAUAUUGGUCAAUGGGCGCAAGCCUGAACCAGCCAUGCCGCGUGCAGGAUGACGCAUCUAUGGUGUGUAAACUGCUUUUGUACAGGAAGAAACAGUUCUUUGCGAAGAACCUUGACGGUACUGUAAGAAUAAGGAUCGGCUAACUCCGUGCCAGCAGCCGCGGUAAUACGGAGGAUCCAAGCGUUAUCCGGAAUCAUUGGGUUUAAAGGGUCCGUAGGCGGCCUUAUAAGUCAGCGGUGAAAGUUUUUGGCUUAACCAAAAAAUUGCCAUUGAUACUGUAGGGCUUGAAUGUUUGUGAAGUAACUAGAAUAUGUAGUGUAGCGGUGAAAUGCUUAGAUAUUACAUGGAAUACCAAUUGCGAAGGCAGGUUACUAACAAAUGAUUGACGCUGAUGGACGAAAGCGUGGGUAGCGAACAGG
rnacentral:rRNA from 1 species